rnacentral:pre_miRNA from 1 species
GUAGUACUCCCUCUAUCCCAAAUUUUUUGUCUUACAUUUGUUUAGAUACGAAUGUAUCUAACACUAAAAUGUAACUAGAUACAUCCGUAUUUAGACAAAUUUAAGACAAGAAUUUUGGGACGGAGGGAGUACAAA